rnacentral:rRNA from 1 species
UACGAAGGGGGCUAGCGUUGCUCGGAAUCACUGGGCGUAAGGGUGCGUAGGCGGGUCUUUAAGUCAGGGGUGAAAUCCUGGAGCUCAACUCCAGAACUGCCUUUGAUACUGAAGAUCUUGAGUUCGGGAGAGGUGAGUGGAACUGCGAGUGUAGAGGUGAAAUUCGUAGAUAUUCGCAAGAACACCAGUGGCGAAGGCGGCUCACUGGCCCGAUACUGACGCUGAGGCACGAAAGCGUGGGGAGCAAGCAGG